GAUGAACGCUGGCGGCGUGCCUAAUACAUGCAAGUCGAGCGAACAGACGCUGCGUUUGCUCCGUUGACGUUAGCCGCGCGCGGGUGAAUAACACGUGUAUAACCUACCUAUAAGACUGGUAAAACUUCGGAAAACCGGAGCUAAUCCCGGAUAAUAUAUUGAACCGCAUGGUUCAUUGGUAAAAUACGGUUUUGCUGUCACUUAUAGAUGCUUCCGCGCCGCAUUAGCUAGUUGUUAAGGUAACGGCUUACCAAGGCAACGAUGCGUAGCCGACCUCCGAGGGUGAUAGGCGACAUUGGAAGGGGAACGGGGACCAGACUCCUAAGGGAGGCAGCAGUAUGGAACCGUACGCAAUGGGCGAAAGUCUGACGGAGCAGCGGCGCGUCAGUGAUGGAGGUCUUCGGAUCGUAAAACCCUGUUAUGAGGUAAAAACAACUGUGUAAGUAACUAUGCACGUCUUGACGGUAACUAAUAAGAAAGCCACGGCUAACUACGUG
rnacentral:rRNA from 1 species